CCUACGGGUGGCAGCAGUGGGGAAUAUUGCACAAUGGGGGAAACCCUGAUGCAGCGACGCCGCGUGAGGGAAGAAGGUUUUCGGAUUGUAAACCUCUGUCUUUGGGGACGAAAGAUGACGGUAGCCAACGAGGAAGCUACGGCUAACUACGUGCCAGAAGCCUCGGUAAUACGUAGGUGGCCAGCGUUGUCCGGAAGUACUGGGUGUAAGGGAGCGGAGGCGGGAAGACAAGUUGAAUGUUUAAACUAGCGGCUCAACCGAUAAUCGCGUUCAAAACUGUUUUUCUUGAGUGAAGUAGAGGCAGGCGGAAUUCCUAGUGUAGCGGUGAAAUGCGUAGAUAUUAGGAGGAACACCAGUGGCGAAGGCGGCCUGCUGGGCUUUAACUGACGCUGAGGCUCGAAAGCGUGGGUAGCAAACAGGAUUAGAUACCCCAGUAGUC
rnacentral:rRNA from 1 species